rnacentral:rRNA from 1 species
GACGUAGGGCGCGAGCGUUUGUCCGGAUUUAUUGGGCGUAAAGAGCUCGUAGGCGGCUUGUCGCGUCGAAUGUGAAAUCUCAGGGCUCAACUCUGACAUUGCAUUCGAUACGGGCAGACUAGAGUUCGGUAGGGGAGUCUGGAAUUCCUGGUGGUAGCGGUGAAAUGCGCAGAUAUCAGGAGGAACACCGGGUGGCGAAGGCGGGACUCUGGGCCGAAUGACUGACGUGGAGGAGCGAAAGCGUGGGGAGCAAACAGGA